rnacentral:rRNA from 1 species
AGAGUUUGAUCCUGGCUCAGAACGAACGCUGGCGGCAUGGAUUAGGCAUGCAAGUUGAACGAACUCCUUCGGGAGUGAGUAGCGGAAGGGUGAGGAACGCGUGAGUAAUCUGCCCCCCAGUUGGGAAUAACAGUUGGAAACGACUGCUAAUACCGAAUGUGGCUUAAGCUUCGCCUGGAGCUUUGGCUAAAGAUUUAUCGCUGGGGGAUGAGCUCGCGUCCCAUUAGGUAGUUGGUGAGGUAACGGCCCACCAAGCCGACGAUGGGUAGCUGGUCUGAGAGGAUGGUCAGCCACACUGGGACUGAGACACUGCCCAGACUCCUACGGGAGGCUGCAGUCGAGAAUCUUGGGCAAUGCGCGAAAGCGUGACCCAGCAAUGCCGCGUGUAUGAUGAAGGCCCUCGGGUCGUAAAGUACUGUCUCCCGUGACGAAAUUUGACGGUAGCGGGGAAGGAAGCCACGGCUAACUACGUGCCAGCAGCCGCGGUAAUAC